rnacentral:rRNA from 1 species
AUUGAACGCUGGCGGCAGGCCUAACACAUGCAAGUCGAACGUCUGUAGCAAUACAGGAGUGGCAGACGGGUGAGUAACACGUGGGAACGUGCCCUUCGGUUCGGAAUAACUCAGGGAAACUUGGGCUAAUACCGGAUACGUCCGCGAGGAGAAAGAUUCAUCGCCGAAGGAUCGGCCCGCGUCCGAUUAGCUAGUUGGUGGGGUGAUGGCUCACCAAGCCGACGAUCGGUAGCUGGUCUGAGAGGAUGAUCAGCCACACUGGGACUGAGACACGACCCAGACUCCUACGGGAGGCAGCAGUGGGGAAUAUUGGACAAUGGGCGCAAGCCUGAUCCAGCCAUGCCGCGUGGGUGAUGAAGGCCCUAGGGUUGUAAAGCCCUUUCGGCGGGGAAGAUAAUGACGGUACCCGCAGAAGAAGCCCCGGCUAACUUCGUGCCAGCCGCCGCCGUAAAAC